rnacentral:rRNA from 1 species
CCUACGGGUGGCUGCAGUGGGGAAUAUUGGACAAUGGGCGAAAGCCUGAUCCAGCCAUGCCGCGUGUGUGAAGAAGGCCUUCGGGUUGUAAAGCACUUUCAGUGGGGAAGAAAGCCUUGGGGCUAAUACCCUCGAGAACGGACAUCACCCACAGAAGAAGCACCGGCUAACUCCGUGCCAGCAGCCGCGGUAAUACGGAGGGUGCGAGCGUUAAUCGGAAUUACUGGGCGUAAAGCGCGCGUAGGCGGUCUGGUAAGCCGGAUGUGAAAGCCCCGGGCUCAACCUGGGAACGGCAUCCGGAACUGUCAGGCUAGAGUGCAGGAGAGGAAGGUAGAAUUCCCGGUGUAGCAGUGAAAUGCGUAGAGAUCGGGAGGAAUACCAGUGGCGAAGGCGGCCUUCUGGACUGACACUGACGCUGAGGUGCGAAAGCGUGGGUAGCAAACAGGAUUAGAUACCCUAGUAGUC